UAAGUUUGAUGGCGACCGGCGCACGGGUGAGUAACACGUAUCCAACCUGCCGAUGACUCGGGGAUAGCCUUUCGAAAGAAAGAUUAAUACCCGAUGGCAUAGUUCUUCCGCAUGGUAGAACUAUUAAAGGAUUUCGGUCAUCGAUGGGGAUGCGUUCCAUUAGGUUGUUGGCGGGGUAACGGCCCACCAAGCCUUCGAUGGAUAGGGGUUCUGAGAGGAAGGUCCCCCACAUUGGAACUGAGACACGGUCCAAACUCCUACGGGAGGCAGCAUG
rnacentral:rRNA from 1 species